GGUCUGCUACCUCUUACCCAUGUCUUUUGAGUACCUUCGUUUCCUCGGCGGGUCCGCCCGCCGGUUGGACAACAUUCAAACCCUUUGCAGUUGCAAUCAGCGUCUGAAAAAACUUAAUAGUUACAACUUUCAACAACGGAUCUCUUGGUUCUGGCAUCGAUGAAGAACGCAGCGAAAUGCGAUAAGUAGUGUGAAUUGCAGAAUUCAGUGAAUCAUCGAAUCUUUGAACGCACAUUGCGCCCCUUGGUAUUCCAUGGGGCAUGCCUGUUCGAGCGUCAUUUGUACCUUCAAGCUCUGCUUGGUGUUGGGUGUUUUGUCUCGCCUCCGCGCGCAGACUCGCCUUAAAACAAUUGGCAGCCGGCGUAUUGAUUUCGGAGCGCAGUACAUCUCGCGCUUUGCACUCAUAACGACGACGUCCAAAAGUACAUUUUUACACUCCGGCGAGUGAAGCGGCAACAGCUCAAAUUUGAAAUCUGGCGUCUUUGGCGUCCGAGUUGUAAUUUGCAGAGGGCGCUUUGGCAUUGGCAGCGGUCCAAGUUCCUUGGAACAGGACGUCACAGAGGGUGAGAAUCCCGUACGUGGUCGCUAGCCUUUACCGUGUAAAGCCCCUUCGACGAGUCGAGUUGUUUGGGAAUGCAGCUCUAAAUGGGAGGUAAAUUUCUUCUAAAGCUAAAUACUGGCCAGAGACCGAUAGCGCACAAGUAGAGUGAUCGAAAGAUGAAAAGCACUUUGGAAAGAGAGUUAAAAAGCACGUGAAAUUGUUGAAAGGGAAGCGCUUGCAGCCAGACUUGCCUGUAGUUGCUCAUCCGGGUUUCUACCCGGUGCACUCUUCUACGGGCAGGCCAGCAUCAGUUUGGGCGGUUGGAUAAAGGUCUCUGUCAUGUACCUCCCUUCGGGGAGAUCUUAUAGGGGAGACGACAUGCAACCAGCCUGGACUGACGUCCGCGCAUCUGCUAGGAUGCUGGCGUAAUGGCUGUAAGCGGCCCGUCUUGAAACACGGACCAAGGAGUCUAACAUCUAUGCGAGUGUUUGGGUGUCAAGCCCGAGCGCGUAAUGAAAGUGAACGGAGGUGGGAACCUUUCGGGGUGCACCAUCGACCGAUCCUGAUGUCUUCGGAUGGAUUUGAGUAAGAGCAUA
rnacentral:sRNA from 1 species